rnacentral:rRNA from 1 species
UAAUACCGCAUACGCCCGUCGAGGGGGAAAGGCGGGGAGUUCUUCGGAACCUCCGCGCGAUUGGAGCGGCCGAUGUCGGAUUAGCUAGUAGGUGAGGUAAAGGCUCACCUAGGCGACGAUCCGUAGCGGGUCUGAGAGGAUGAUCCGCCACACUGGGACUGAGACACGGCCCAGACUCCUACGGGAGGCAGCAGUGGGGAAUUUUGGACAAUGGGCGCAAGCCUGAUCCAGCCAUGCCGCGUGAGUGAAGAAGGCCUUCGGGUUGUAAAGCUCUUUCGGCCGGGAAGAAAUCGUGGUCUCUAACAUAGGCCAUGGAUGACGGUACCGGACUAAGAAGCACCGGCUAACUACGUGCCAGCAGCCGCGGUAAUACGUAGGGUGCGAGCGUUAAUCGGAAUUACUGGGCGUAAAGCGUGCGCAGGCGGUUUUGUAAGACAGAUGUGAAAAUCCCCCGGGCUUAACCUGGGAACUGCGUUUGUGACUGCAAGGCUAGAGUACGGCAGAGGGGGGUGGAAUU